GUUCCGGCGGUUGACGUCACUGCACAGCUCUGUAAGAUGGCGCUUCGGCCAGGAUCAGCGCGAGGUGGCAGUUUUAUCUACCCUGUUGGAGGGGGACUUGGACCACCACAAGGAAUGAUGUCCAUGCCACAGCAGCAGACGCCGCAGCAGGGAUUCCCCAUGGUACCCAUCAUGCAGCCCAACAUGCAGGGGAUGAUGGGAAUGAAUUUCGGCGCGCAGCUGCCCACUGGUCCCAUACCCAUCCAGGCUGGGAUGGCCUUGGGGAUGCCGGCUCCAGGUCUACAGUUCAUGGGUCAGCCACAGUACAUAGGCCUGAGGGCCCCGGGACACCAGUACCCUGCCGACCUGCAGAAACAGAUGGCAGAGGAGCAUCAGAAACGUUUGGAGCAACAACAACGUAUGCUGGAAGAAGACAGGAAACGUAGGCAGUUUGAGGAACAGAAGCAGAAACUGCGUCUCCUGAGCAGUGUGAAACCCAAGACUGGAGAGAAGAGCAGAGAUGACGCGCUGGAGGCCAUCAAGGGCAACUUGGAUGGCUUCAGCAGAGAUGCCAGGAUGCACCCCGCGCCGUCCUCACAGCCUAAGCAAGCAGACUCAUCGCCAUCUCACUCCUCUGUCCCCCCUCAUUCGCUUCCUCCUGCUUUCACAGAGGACGAUGACGAGUUUAGUGACUUUAUUCAGGGGCCUGUCGAUGGCCCCACCCACUCCCUCCCUUUAGAGGCGGGGCCUGUGUGGAAGCCCUCACCUAGGCUCUUCCCCCCCUCCCUCCCCCCCACUCUGCCCCACUCCACUGCCCCUGCUCAUUCAUCUGUCAUCUCCAGCUCCCAGUCUGCAUUCCAAGGCCCGUCUCUGCAGGAGAAACUGUCCUCGUCCUGUGACUUAAUGGCUGAGAAGAAGGCCCAGGUUACCUUUAGACCUCGGCCAGCUCUGUGUGAGCUCAAGCCCAGAGCCCAGGUCACCGUCCAGUUCCCCAGCAGCUCCAGGGCCCGCGACUGGGCCAACUCCGAUGAGCUCAGCUCCGCCUUCACCACGGAGACGCCCCCCAUGGCUGUCCUGGCGACAGAGGCCCCCACCCAUCCAGAGUCCGUUGGCAGCGGCGUUGGCGUCUUCCCCCAGCAGGAUAUGCAGUCCGUGGUGCCAGCCUGGCUCUACAACGACGCACUCAUUCCAGAGCUGUUUAAGAAAGUGCAGGAGUGUACGAUGACCCCGGCUGGCAUCGACACAGCCAAGCUCUACCCCAUCCUGAUGUCAUCUGGGCUGCCCCGGGAAGCGCUGGGGCAGAUAUGGGCCUCAGCCAAUCGCACCACCCCGGGCAAGCUGACCAAAGAGGAGCUGUACACCGUUCUGGCCUUGAUCGGGGCAGCACAGAGUGGGAUUCCUGUGAUGAGCUUGGACAUCCUGACUCAGUUCCCAUCUCCUCCGGUGCCCACGCUGCCUGCCAUGGCCGUACCCCUGCCCCCUGUGCUGGUCACCCAGCCUGCUCUCCUUGGCACGGCCGGCUCCGCGGUCCUACCCCUGCCGCCCAACCCGCCGCCACAACCUUGCAGCAGCUUCGUCACGAGUUUCCCUCCUGUCCAGGGGGCCAAAGCAGAAGACGAGGAUGAUUUCCAGGACUUUCAGGAGGCCCCAAAGGCAGGCAGUGGAGAUGGUUCCUUCACAGACUUCCAAGGAGAGAAGGACGGGGCGUUCCCCAGCGCGUCCUCUCAGAGCAGCGUUCUUGCCGUGCUGACUCCAGUAUCUGGCCCUUCAUCUUCCUCUGAUAAAUAUGCAGUUUUUAAGCAACUGACAGCAGAGCAGACUACAGAAGCUGCACCCCCUGCCUCAGAUUUCGGCGACAAGUACAGUGUGUUCAGAGAACUUGCACAGCCUUCAGACAGGAAGCCCAUAGAACCCAUCGGGGACACCUUUGGGAGCUCCAGUGAAAGCUUUGCCGAUUUCAAGUCUGUUGGCACCGACGAUGGCUUCACAGACUUUAAGACCGCCAGCAACGUUUCUCCACUAGACCCACCAGACCAAGCCAAGAUGUUCCAGCCAUCUCUCCCUGCUCCUUUUCCUCCCUCCUCUCACUCCCUCCCCCAGCCCAAGAACCCCCUCAACAUGGCAGAUUUGGACCUCUUUGCCUCUAUGGCUCCAUCCACCUCCACUUCCUCUAUCGUAGACUCCAAGGCCGGCCCGUUCCCCUCCCCGGCGAUGCCCUCUCUUAUCCUCCCUCACACGGGCCCCAAACCCUCGGGCUCCGGGGCCGACGACUUCGGCGACUUUGCCCUCUUUGGCUCCUCAGCGUCGUCCUCGUCGGAGCCGGCGUCCUUGGGCCGGAGGGGCGGGGCCCCACCGCAAGAUGACUUUGCAGACUUCUUGGCAUUCGGGGGCUCCGGCGAGGCGCGGCCAGAGGGCCAGCGUGUCGACGCCUCCUCCGGGAUGCCCCGUCCCCGGCAGGCGCCCGCUGUCGACAAGUACGACGUUUUCAAGCAGCUGUCGCUGGAGGGAGGCGCGGGCUACGCCGAAGGCAAGGAGGCGGGGGGAGGAGACUCCUCCUCUUCACUCAAAGGUGAUGCGGAUGACUUCGCCGACUUCCAGUCGUCCAAGUUCUGCACGGCACUGGGCUCCUCGGAGAAGAGCGCGGUAGACAAGCUGGCCGCCUUCAAGCAGGCCAAGGAGGACUCGGCCUCGGUCAAAUCACUGGACCUCCCGUCCAUCGGGGGCAGCAGCGUCGGGAAGGAGGACUCAGAGGACGCCCUGUCCGUGCAGCUGGACAUGAAGCUGGCGGACAUGGGUGGAGACCUGAAGCAUGGCAUGUCUGACAGCUCACUGGACCUUCCCGGGCUGACUGCACACCAGCCCCCUGCCACAGGUGAGGAACUGGUGCGCUUACUGUGGUGAGGCCUGCACUCUCUACACACACACACACACACACACACACACACAGACUCACACACACAGACUCAUAUACAUGCGCACACACACACACACCCCACUCUCAGGUCAAUUCAUGGCCGUCUUACAGUUCCCUGAUCAGAUGUCCGGCAGGACAGAGAGUGCUAGUCAGAUUAAUGAGGGAUGAUGGCAUAUCAAAACCAUCUCAUCUCGUGUUGUUUACUUUUUCCCUGACCAUUUCAACAGUAUUUGUUUACACGUAGUUACAUAAAGUAUUUAUUGUACAUAAUUGUACGAAUGUUUAUUUAUUUAUUUGUUUGUUUGUUUAUCCCUUUGGACAAAUUUGAGCUGUCUGAAGCACAUCAGUAUUAUUGACUGACAGCAUUUCGUCCUUUUCUCCAGGUGCAGAUUAAGUCUUUUCUUGCUCUGGAUUAUAAUUUGGUGGCCUGAUCUUAUCCAGUGUUUAUCUCCGUUUUGUAAUAUUACGUAGAAAUAACCUAAGUCUUUUUGUCUUCUCUCUUAAGUAGGUUUACUGAGAGAUUUGAUCUUUCACUCUUCAACUCCGUUCUCUGUUCGUGAUCACAGAUGGUGAACACACAGCCACUAAACUCUCAGAAAAUAAUAAUAAUAAUAAUAAUAAUAAUAAUAAUAACUCAGUCAGUAGUGAUUAAUGCCAUAUCAUACAGAUUGUUACGAGGCAGCUGUUUGGGCUGAUGACAUGGACCACCAACCAAAAGAGUGUUUGUUCCUUACGUGUCUAGACUGUACAGGGUUAAGACCGUUAGGUUGGUGAACUGUCUACACUGUGCAGGGUUAAGACCGUUAGGUUGGUGAACUGUCUACACUGUGCAGGGUUAAGACCGUUAGGUUGGUGAACUGUCUACACUGUGCAGGGUUAAGACCGUUAAGGUUGGUGAACUGUCUACACUGUGCAGGGUUAAUACCGUUAGGUUGGUGAACUGUCUAGACUGUGCAGGGUUAAUACCGUUAGGUUGGUGAACUGUCUAGACUGUGCAGGGUUAAGACCGUUAAGGUUGGUGAACUGUCUACACUGUGCAGGGUUAAGACCGUUAGGUUGGUGAACUGUCUAGACUGUGCAGGGUUAAGACCGUUAGGUUGGUGAACUGUCUAGACUGUGCAGGGUUAAGACCGUUAGGUUGGUGAACUGUCUAGACUGUGCAGGGUUAAGACCGUUAGGUUGGUGAACUGUCUAGACUGACACAUCCCCCCCCCACCUCAGCUCUGGUUUGGAAGAUCAUUCACUCCAUUAUAUGAUGUCACCAACCGUUUGUGCUUCCAUGAAGUAAGUGUGUGUGUGUGUGAGUGUGUGUGUGUGUGUGUGUGUGUGUGUGUGUGUGUGUGUGUGUAAGGAAUCGCAUAAGCAUGGCCAAUGCAUUUCAUUUUCCAUUUUAUGUCUAGCUGAGUAACACUGACAGAUUAUUCCUUCUAACCCAUCUGUCGUCUAGUCCUGGUUCAGUCUGUGGUAUACACACCUACUAGAAGCUUCAUUUGUAUGCCAGAUCUGAAAAUAAUACAUUAUAAGGACUUCAGUAGAGCUCAGUUAUGUGGAUAAACUACUGCACUAUAAUUGUGGUCUACAUACUGCAGAUGUGAUGUGCCUCACGGUGUAUUACUAAGACAUGGUUAGGUGGCCCGCAGAAAUUAGACCAAAAAUAUUGGUUUGUUGAAUCAUGAGAAUGUUGUGAUUCAUCAAACCCACCACAGAACCGUCAUCUGGAGUGUCUGAAAUGGGCAAGGAUGCUCACGACACACACGCACAGUAGUGAUUUGUUACAGGGCUCAUUUGUAUCGAUAUCGCAAAGUAUGCAUUAUCAGUAUUGCGAUAAUAACAAACAAUAUAUUGUGCAGGCCUGACCCUCACACUGCCCCUCCUCGCCAGUGGUAAUUCUCAGUUUCAGUAUGACACAUUCAUCCUAAGUGUCCUCGGGGCACUGCAGUGUUCUGGAGAACUGGGCCUGCUACUGGACUUUCCUGGGCCACACGCCUGUGUGUUGGUUACCGGGCAGUUUCCAUGCCUGGACUGUAAAUAUUUCAGCAGGUUACGGGCUGUUGAGUUUCGUAGCACUUGCACUAUGCUGGAUGUCUCGCUAACCUCCGAAGAGACAGUAUCUCUUUUCCCAGGCUGUUAUGAACUGGAGCCCGCCGGUCACACCCACCCAUGCCCCCAGCCCCCCACUGAGCACAGCCCCCGUCUCCCUGGCCAGUCUGGAGGGAGUCUCUCGUCCCGAGUUUGUUUGCUACAGUUUGUGCCUGCCUUUUCAAUUUGUGAAAUUGACAAGAAAGUGGUUAACGAUUGCUAGGACUCCAUUUUCUGGCCUGCCUAUGAAAAUGGGCUGUUUUUAUGAACAAGAAAAUGUGUACAUGCCAAUUUAAUAGUGUAUUUUUAUUACAGGAAUAUAUACUGGUAUUUAUUUUCAAUAUAGAUAGACUUGACUCUGUUAAGUAUUGAUGUGGGAUUGCUUCUGCUCAAUAUGCACAAUGUUUUAUUUAGCUGGAUGUGAAUGUGUUGGCCUGCGUUACACCGGGAAUGACGUGCACUUCCUGUCUGCUGUGUCGCUCCUGCUAAGAGCAUGCGCACUGGAGCGCGCUCCAAACAGGUGGCGAGAGAAAAACGAUACUGUCUCUCUUAUCUGUUCUGCGCCUGUCACUCAAACGAUCCAACGCUUUCAUAGGCUGUAGACCUCUUUGUUUACUUUUAACCCUUUGAGUUCCUGGCAGUGGCAAUGUUAUCCAUGCUGUGCUCUAUGAGAGUCUAAAACUGAAUCUGGUCUGUGUACUGUGAUCACACGCAGUGGCCCCAGUGCUCCGUGUUUCCGGAGACCUGAGGAGAGCUUUCUCAGCCAGCUCCAGCUUCUCAAAGGGUGCAGAGAUCCAUAGAACCUGUACUUCACACCACCUCUUUUAUCUUUGCUUACGAAAUGUUCUGUAUGCUUUCCUCUCUUUUAGAACAAAAACAGUGUGUCUGACCUACAAAAACAUUUUUAGUCUGUGUACGUGCCUCUUCAGUUCUGGCCUGUGCAUCUGGUUUUGGGAUUUGCUUCUGUUAACCUUUUGCCCUUUUCACCUCUCUGCCCCUAACUUUGCAUGCCCAUGUGUUCUUAUAAUACAGAAAAAAACCCCAUUUUUAUGUGUUUGUUUGGCAAAGCUCUUGUAACGGAAGCUUUUUGCUGACCUAUCUCUUUCUCUCUCUGACAAUGUUGUCGUAAUAAAUCUGAACGAUGGUGUAGCG